UACGAAGGGGGCUAGCGUUGCUCGGAAUCACUGGGCGUAAAGCGCACGUAGGCGGCUCUUUAAGUCAGAGGUGAAAUCCUGGGGCUCAACCCCAGAACUGCCUUUGAUACUGAGGAGCUUGAGUCCGGGAGAGGUGAGUGGAACUGUGAGUGUAGAGGUGAAAUUCGUAGAUAUUCGCAAGAACACCAGUGGCGAAGGCGGCUCACUGGCCCGGUACUGACGCUGAGGUGCGAAAGCGUGGGGAGCAAACAGG
rnacentral:rRNA from 1 species